rnacentral:rRNA from 1 species
CGCCGCGUGAGGGAUGACGGCCUUCGGGUUGUAAACCUCUUUUAGCAGGGAAGAAGCGAAAGUGACGGUACCUGCAGAAAAAGCGCCGGCUAACUACGUGCCAGCAGCCUCGGUAAUACGUAGGGCGCAAGCGUUAUCCGGAAUUAUUGGGCGUAAAGAGCUCGUAGGCGGUUUGUCGCGUCUGCUGUGAAAUCCCGAGGCUCAACUUCGGGUCUGCAGUGGGUACGGGCAGACUAGAGUGCGGUAGGGGAGAUUGGAAUUCCUGGUGUAGCGGUGGAAUGCGCAGAUAUCAAGAGGAACACCGAUGGCGAAAGCAGAUCUCUGGGCCGUAACUGACUCUGAGGAGCGAAAGGGUGGGGAGCAAACAGGCAUAGAUACCCUGGUAGUCCACCCCGUAAACGUUGGGAACUAGUUGUGGGGUCCAUUCCACGGAUUCCGUGACGCAGCUAACGCAUUAAGUUCCCCGCCUGGGGAGUACGGGCGCAAGGCUAAAACUCAAAGGAAUUGACGGGGACCCGCACAAGCGGCGGAGCAUGCGGAUUAAUUCGAUGCAACGCGAAGAACCUUACCAAGGCUUGACAUAUACUAGAACGCUGCAGAAAUGUAGAACUCUUUGGAC